rnacentral:lncRNA from 1 species
UCCGUUGUUACUUGUGCCCACUUGGACCUAGUGGGGAGAUCGGCAGAGUCGGCGGCCGAGCCCACUGGGAACUAUGGAAGAUAGUUCUCACCCCACUCUAUUUCCAGUGGUAGGUACAGGGUUACCGAGAGAGGACCGCGGCAAGGGCAUCGCGCCCGAUCAGUGAGACCGUGGUAGUAUAGUAGCUUUCCUUUUGCAUUAGCACACCUAUGUAUUGAGAGAGAUUCAUGUAGGUGAGAUUGGAGAGCUAUGUAUUUUGAGGAUCAAAUGUAUUCAUUUUGGAAAUGAUGUAAAUGUAAAAAUGCAACUAUUGUAAUAGUUAGUAAAGUACUCCCUUUAUUUCACUCGUAUAUCUUGUGGAUUACUUACUCUUCUUGUUGUUGGCACUGUUUGUGCCCUCGUUGAAUGUGUAUGUUUAGAAUUUAAAGUCCUGGGUAAAUUCUUGUACACAUUCCUGUUGUUGAGCCUUGGGCGGACAGGAGAGGUGCUGUCCGUUCGGCGGCCCGUCGCCGCGGUCGAACCGUGCCAAAUUGGUAGUGGUUUCGGGGCGGGGCGUGACAGUCCUUUGUGGUAUCAGAGCAACAAGAGCAA